AUUGAACGCUGGCGGCAUGCCUAACACAUGCAAGUCGAACGGCAGCACGGGAGCUUGCUCCUGGUGGCGAGUGGCGGACGGGUGAGUAAUGCAUAGGAAUCUGCCCAGUAGCGGGGGACAACUUGGGGAAACUCAAGCUAAUACCGCAUGCGCCCUACGGGGGAAAGCGGGGGACCUUCGGGCCUCGCACUAUUGGAUGAGCCUAUGUCAGAUUAGCUUGUUGUGGGGUAACGGCCUACCAAGGCGACGAUCUGUAGCUGGUCUGAGAGGACGAUCAGCCACACUGGGACUGAGACACGGCCCAGACUCCUACGGGAGGCAGCGGUGGGGAAUAUUGCACAAUGGGCGAAAGCCUGAUGCAGCAAUGCCGCGUGUGUGAAGAAGGCCUGCGGGUUGUAAAGCACUUUCAGUAGGAGGAAACAGUAGCCGGUUAAUAUCCGGUUGCCUUGACGUUACCUACAGAAGAAGCACCGGCUAACU
rnacentral:rRNA from 1 species